rnacentral:rRNA from 1 species
AGGAUAAACGCUGGCGGCGUGCCUAACACAUGCAAGUCGAACGAGAAAGUGGAGCAAUCCAUGAGUAAAGUGGCGCACGGGUGAGUAACACGUGACUAACCUACCCUUGAGUGGGGGAUAACCUCGGGAAACCGGGGCUAAUACCGCAUAAUAUCGAGAGAUCAAAGGAGCAAUUCGCUUAAGGAGGGGUCGCGGCUGAUUAGCUAGUUGGUGAGGUAAUGGCUCACCAAGGCUAUGAUCAGUA